UACGUAGGGCGCAAGCGUUAUCCGGAAUUAUUGGGCGUAAAGAGCUCGUAGGCGGUUUGUCGCGUCUGCCGUGAAAGGCCGGGGCUCAACUCCGGAUCUGCGGUGGGUACGGGCAGACUAGAGUGAUGUAGGGGAGACUGGAAUUCCUGGUGUAGCGGUGAAAUGCGCAGAUAUCAGGAGGAACACCGAUGGCGAAGGCAGGUCUCUGGGCAUUAACUGACGCUGAGGAGCGAAAGCAUGGGGAGCGAACGGG
rnacentral:rRNA from 1 species